UACGGGAGGCAGCAGUGGGGAAUAUUGCACAAUGGGCGAAAGCCUGAUGCAGCAACGCCGCGUGAGUGAAGAAGGUUUUCGGAUUGUAAAGCUCUGUCUUUGGGGACGAUAAUGACGGUACCCAAGGAGGAAGCCACGGCUAACUACGUGCCAGCAGCCGCGGUAAUACGUAGGUGGCGAGCGUUGUCCGGAAUUACUGGGCGUAAAGAGUGCGUAGGCGGAUAUUUAAGUGAGAUGUGAAAUACCCGGGCUUAACCCGGGCACUGCAUUUCAAACUGGAUAUCUAGAGUGCGGGAGAGGAGAAUGGAAUUCCUAGUGUAGCGGUGAAAUGCGUAGAGAUUAGGAAGAACACCAGUGGCGAAGGCGAUUCUCUGGACCGUAACUGACGCUGAGGCACGAAAGCGUGGGUAGCAAACAGGAUUAGAUACCCUGGUAGUCCACGCCGUAAACGAUGAGUACUAGGUGUAGGAGGUAUCGACCCCUUCUGUGCCGCAGUAAACACAAUAAGUACUCCGCCUGGGAAGUACGAUCGCAAGAUUAAAA
rnacentral:rRNA from 1 species